ACGUGUUCCUGGGGGGACCGUAUGCAGUGUUUUCCAAGGAUAACAAAGGGGGUUUUGCCAGGGUGGGGCUGACCCAUUGCACUCUGGGUGCACUCACCCCUGCGAUUUCCCUAGGGUGGGAAACACGGCCGCAUCGUUUGUGGUAGCGGGGGACGGUGGGCACGCUUUCCCCUG
ensembl:snRNA U1 U1 spliceosomal RNA